rnacentral:rRNA from 1 species
UACAGAGGGGGCGAGCGUUGUUCGGAAUUACUGGGCGUAAAGGGCGCGUAGGCGGCCUUCUAAGUCGAACGUGAAAUCCCCGGGCUCAACCCGGGAACUGCGUCCGAUACUGGGAGGCUUGAAUCCGGGAGAGGGAUGUGGAAUUCCGCGUGUAGCAGUGAAAUGCGUAGAUAUGCGGAGGAACACCGAUGGCGAAGGCAAUCCCCUGGACCUGUACUGACGCUCAUGCACGAAAGCGUGGGGAGCAAACAGG